GAUGAAGAACGUAGCGAAAUGCGAUAAGUAAUGUGAAUUGCAGAAUUCAGUGAAUCAUCGAAUCUUUGAACGCACCUUGCGCCUUUUGGUAUUCCGAAAGGCACACCUGUUUGAGCGUCAUGAAUACCUCAAUCUCCAUCUUUUCUUCGGAUUGAUGGGUGACUUGGAUGUUGAGCCCUGCUGGUAUGCUAUAUCAGCUGGCUUUAAACUUAUUAGCCGGCUCUGUACUGGAUCGGUUUGACUCGACGUGAUAAUAUUAUCGUUGAGGAUGCAUGUCUCAUGCAGCCGGAAAGUAUCAAAGCAGCUUCUAGCUUGCCUUUAGUGCACUUUUACAUUUUGGACCUCAGAUCAGGUGGGACUACCCGCUGAACUUAAGCAUAUCAAUAAGCGGAGGA
rnacentral:misc_RNA from 1 species